rnacentral:rRNA from 1 species
CGCCAUGCCGCGUGUGUGAAGAAGGCCUUCGGGUUGUAAAGCACUUUCAGUCGUGAGGAAGGUGGUGUAGUUAAUAGCUGCAUUACUUGACGUUAGCGACAGAAGAAGCACCGGCUAACUCCGUGCCAGCAGCCGCGGUAAUACGGAGGGUGCGAGCGUUAAUCGGAAUUACUGGGCGUAAAGCGCAUGCAGGUGGUUUGUUAAGUCAGAUGUGAAAGCCCGGGGCUCAACCUCGGAAUAGCAUUUGAAACUGGCAGACUAGAGUACUGUAGAGGGGGGUAGAAUUUCAGGUGUAGCGGUGAAAUGCGUAGAGAUCUGAAGGAAUACCGGUGGCGAAGGCGGCCCCCUGGACAGAUACUGACACUCAGAUGCGAAAGCGUGGGGAGCAAACAGGAUUAGAUACCCUGGUAGUCCACGCCGUAAACGAUGUCUACUUGGAGGUUGUGGCCUUGAGCCGUGGCUUUCGGAGCUAACGCGUUAAGUAGACCGCCUGGGGAGUACGGUCGCAAGAUUAAAACUCAAAUGAAUUGACGGGGGCCCGCACAAGCGGUGGAGCAUGUGGUUUAAUUCGAUGCAACGCGAAGAACCUUACCUACUCUUGACAUCCAGAGAACUUUCCAGAGAUGGAUUGGUGCCUUCGGGAACUCUGAGACAGGUGCUGCAUGGCUGUCGUCAGCUCGUGUUGUGAAAUGUUGGGUUAAGUCCCGCAACGAGCGCAACCCUUAUCCUUGUUUGCCAGCGAGUAAUGUCGGGAACUCCAGGGAGACUGCCGGUGAUAAACCGGAGGAAGGUGGGGACGACGUCAAGUCAUCAUGGCCCUUACGAGUAGGGCUACACACGUGCUACAAUGGCGCAUACAGAGGGCAGCAAGCUAGCGAUAGUGAGCGAAUCCCAAAAAGUGCGUCGUAGUCCGGAUUGGAGUCUGCAACUCGACUCCAUGAAGUCGGAAUCGCUAGUAAUCGUGGAUCAGAAUGCCACGGUGAAUACGUUCCCGGGCCUUGUACACACCGCCCGUCACACCAUGGGAGUGGGCUGCAAAAGAAGUAGGUAGUUUAACCUUCGGGAGGACGCUUACCACUUUGUGGUUCAUGACUGGGGUGAGCGCUAAA